rnacentral:rRNA from 1 species
GGGUUGUGAGGUUAAGCGACUAAGCGUACACGGUGGAUGCCCUGGCAGUCAGAGGCGAUGAAGGACGUGCUAAUCUGCGAAAAGCGUCGGUAAGGUGAUAUGAACCGUUAUAACCGGCGAUGUCCGAAUGGGGAAACCCAGUGUGAUUCGUCACACUAUCGUUAACUGAAUACAUAGGUUAACGAGGCGAACCGGGGGAACUGAAACAUCUAAGUACCCCGAGGAAAAGAAAUCAACCGAGAUUCCCCCAGUAGCGGCGAGCGAACGGGGAGCAGCCCAGAGUCUGAAUCAGCUUGUGUGUUAGUGGAACGGUCUGGAAAGUCCGACGGUACAGGGUGAUAGUCCCGUACACCAAAAUGCACAGGUUGUGAACUCGAAGAGUAGGGCGGGACACGUGGUAUCCUGUCUGAAUAUGGGGGGACCAUCCUCCAAGGCUAAAUACUCCUGACUGACCGAUAGUGAACCAGUACCGUGAGGGAAAGGCGAAAAGAACCCCGGCGAGGGGAGUGAAAAAGAACCUGAAACCGUGUACGUACAAGCAGUGGGAGCACCUUCGGGUGUGACUGCGUACCUUUUGUAUAAUGGGUCAGCGACUUAUAUUCUGUAGCAAGGUUAACCGUAUAGGGGAGCCGCAGGGAAACCGAGUCUUAACUGGGCGUUAAGUUGCAGGGUAUAGACCCGAAACCCGGUGAUCUAGCCAUGGGCAGGUUGAAGGUUGGGUAACACUAACUGGAGGACCGAACCGACUAAUGUUGAAAAAUUAGCGGAUGACUUGUGGCUGGGGGUGAAAGGCCAAUCAAACCGGGAGAUAGCUGGUUCUCCCCGAAAGCUAUUUAGGUAGCGCCUCGUGAACUCAUCUUCGGGGGUAGAGCACUGUUUCGGCUAGGGGGUCAUCCCGACUUACCAACCCGAUGCAAACUACGAAUACCGAAGAAUGUUAUCACGGGAGACACACGGCGGGUGCUAACGUCCGUCGUGAAGAGGGAAACAACCCAGACCGCCAGCUAAGGUCCCAAAGUCAUGGUUAAGUGGGAAACGAUGUGGGAAGGCACAGACAGCCAGGAUGUUGGCUUAGAAGCAGCCAUCAUUUAAAGAAAGCGUAAUAGCUCACUGGUCGAGUCGGCCUGCGCGGAAGAUGUAACGGGGCUAAACCAUGCACCGAAGCUGCGGCAGCGACACUAUGUGUUGUUGGGUAGGGGAGCGUUCUGUAAGCCUGCGAAGGUGUGCUGUGAGGCAUGCUGGAGGUAUCAGAAGUGCGAAUGCUGACAUAAGUAACGAUAAAGCGGGUGAAAAGCCCGCUCGCCGGAAGACCAAGGGUUCCUGUCCAACGUUAAUCGGGGCAGGGUGAGUCGACCCCUAAGGCGAGGCCGAAAGGCGUAGUCGAUGGGAAACAGGUUAAUAUUCCUGUACUUGGUGUUACUGCGAAGGGGGGACGGAGAAGGCUAUGUUAGCCGGGCGACGGUUGUCCCGGUUUAAGCAUGUAGGCUGGUUGUCCAGGCAAAUCCGGAUAAUCAAGGCUGAGGUGUGAUGACGAGGCACUACGGUGCUGAAGUAACAAAUGCCCUGCUUCCAGGAAAAGCCUCUAAGCAUCAGGUAACAUUAAAUCGUACCCCAAACCGACACAGGUGGUCAGGUAGAGAAUACCAAGGCGCUUGAGAGAACUCGGGUGAAGGAACUAGGCAAAAUGGUGCCGUAACUUCGGGAGAAGGCACGCUGGUGUGUAGGUGAAGUCCCUGCGGAUGGAGCUGAGACCAGUCGAAGAUACCAGCUGGCUGCAACUGUUUAUUAAAAACACAGCACUGUGCAAACACGAAAGUGGACGUAUACGGUGUGACGCCUGCCCGGUGCCGGAAGGUUAAUUGAUGGGGUUAUCCGUAAGGAGAAGCUCUUGAUCGAAGCCCCGGUAAACGGCGGCCGUAACUAUAACGGUCCUAAGGUAGCGAAAUUCCUUGUCGGGUAAGUUCCGACCUGCACGAAUGGCGUAAUGAUGGCGGGCUGUCUCCACCCGAGACUCAGUGAAAUUGAACUCGCUGUGAAGAUGCAGUGUACCCGCGGCAAGACGGAAAGACCCCGUGAACCUUUACUAUAGCUUGACACUGAACAUUGAGCCUUGAUGUGUAGGAUAGGUGGGAGGCUUUGAAGCGUGGACGCCAGUCUGCGUGGAGCCAACCUUGAAAUACCACCCUUUAAUGUUUGAUGUUCUAACGUUGGCCCCUUACCGGGGUUGCGGACAGUGUCUGGUGGGUAGUUUGACUGGGGCGGUCUCCUCCCAAAGCGUAACGGAGGAGCACGAAGGUUAGCUAAUCCUGGUCGGACAUCAGGAGGUUAGUGCAAUGGCAUAAGCUAGCUUGACUGCGAGCGUGACGGCGCGAGCAGGUGCGAAAGCAGGUCAUAGUGAUCCGGUGGUUCUGAAUGGAAGGGCCAUCGCUCAACGGAUAAAAGGUACUCCGGGGAUAACAGGCUGAUACCGCCCAAGAGUUCAUAUCGACGGCGGUGUUUGGCACCUCGAUGUCGGCUCAUCACAUCCUGGGGCUGAAGUAGGUCCCAAGGGUAUGGCUGUUCGCCAUUUAAAGUGGUACGCGAGCUGGGUUUAGAACGUCGUGAGACAGUUCGGUCCCUAUCUGCCGUGGGCGCUGGAGAAUUGAGGGGGGCUGCUCCUAGUACGAGAGGACCGGAGUGGACGCAUCACUGGUGUUCGGGUUGUCAUGCCAAUGGCACUGCCCGGUAGCUAAAUGCGGAAGAGAUAAGUGCUGAAAGCAUCUAAGCACGAAACUUGCCCCGAGAUGAGUUCUCCCUGAGACUUUAAGUCUCCUGAAGGAACGUUGAAGACGACGACGUUGAUAGGCCGGGUGUGUAAGCGCAGCGAUGCGUUGAGCUAACCGGUACUAAUGAACCGUGAGGCUUAACCUUACAACGCCGAAG